rnacentral:rRNA from 1 species
AUAGAGACUCAGAGCUGCAUAUCAAUAAGCGGAGGAAAAGAAACUAACAAGGAUUCCCUUAGUAACGGCGAGUGAAGCGGGAAGAGCUCAAAUUUGAAAUCUUCAAGGUUCUACCUUGACGAAUUGUAGUUUAUAGAAGUGUUUUCUGUUAGUAGGAGUGGCAAAAGUUCUUUGGAAUAGGACAUCAUAGAGGGUGAGAAUCCCGUAUUUGGUCAUUCUUUCUAGCUUUGUGAUACACUUUCAACGAGUCGGAUUGUUUGGGAAUGCAGUCCAAAAUGGGUGGUGAAUUUCAUCUAAAGCUAAAUAUUGGCGAGAGACCGAUAGCGAACAAGUACCGUGAGGGAAAGAUGAAAAGAACUUUGAAAAGGAGAGUUAAACAGUACGUGAAAUUGUCAAAAGGGAAGCGUUUGACACCAGUGUUGUUUUUCCGAAAAUCAAUUACGAAUGUUUUGUUUUUGAGAAGUUAUGACUUCAUCGGCUUGCUUCUCUCUUUAUGAAACUUUCUUAAUGCACUUUUCGGUUAACAAGUCAACAUCAAUUUCUUUUGUUGUAAAAGGGUAUGAGGAAGGUGGCUUUCUUUUCGGAGAAAGUGUUUAUAGCCUUGUACCUCUGCAAUCGGAGAGAUUGAGGUCUGCAGCGUAGAUCCUUCGGGGUUAGAUGCAUUUGUGCUAAGUUAUAGCCUUUCAUAGACAACUUGUUGACUAUGAUCAGUCAUGUAGCUUACUCGCUUAUGCUAUUUUACCUACGCUUAGGAUGUUGAAGAUAUGCGCGACACG